UUUAAUCCAAUAAGAAAUCGGCGGUAUGUUGAAAUAUAACGUGACAGUGAAAAUUUUAUUAAAUGUGAUAUUUAUUUUUUAAAUGUUGCUGUUUGAUUUUAUUCUAUUUCUAAUCGAUAAUUUAACAAAAAAUAUUGCUAUGAAAAGCUGAACAUUAUUAGUAAGAAUUGAUCUUACAGGAUAGAUAAGAUGAUUGAUCAAAAAUUUUAAAAGAUUUAAAUUGCCGAAUGAUGAAAAUUUUAUUACGAAUGAUAUCCAAAAAAUGACUGAUAAUACAAUGGAUUAUGCAUAUUUAUUGGCGGAUUGAUAAUGCAUUCUUAUGCCAUCUUUAUCCAGAGCAAAUUAUCAUUGAAAUGAUUGUAUUCCUUUCUGGACAUAUUAUUGCCUCAAACAUAGAUGAUCAAAUCAACGAGUUAUCUACUGAGUUGGAUUUCAGCUCUAAUUUUGGCAUGGAUCAUCCUGAUUCCUUCUUGAACAUUUGCACGUUCUAGAUCAUAGAAUUUGUUUAUAACGAUUUGGAUGGAACGAAUUAAUCAUGUUAUAAGAGGAUAAUAAAUCGUUAUUAAGUUCAUAUAUAAAAUUUUCUAUUGAAACUUUCGGAUGUCAGCUGUGUCCAGGAGGAAUUCUUAAUAUUUUGUUAAUAACAUUGUAAUUAUUUUCUUGAAUUAAAAAAAUGAUAUUGAUAAGAUCA
rnacentral:lncRNA from 11 species